UUUUUUACUAUGGAAAUCAUACUCGAUGAUGAUGCUGUGAUACACAAUAGCAAGUAUUUUCUACAGAGAGGGAGCAUUUGGAUUAGAGAGACUUGAGCCACAUCCAGCAUUUCUUCUUUAAACAUUAGAACACUUUCUGGGAAGCCGCAGCCUAAAUUGUAGCUUAUUGCUUGUUUCUUAGCUGUCAUUUUUGUUUGUUUUCUUCUAAGAAAGUAAACAUGCUAAAAAUAUAUAUAUAUUUUGCCUUUUUUCCUCCAGCCUAAACCUCUACGGUGGGCACAUUUAAAAGUAUCAGUCCUAGGGCGCCUGGGUGGCUCAGUCAGUUAGAUGUCCACCUUUAGCUCAAGUCAUGAUCCCAGGGUCCUGGGAUUGAGCCCCAUGUAGGGCUCUCUGCUCAAUGGGGAGUCUGCUUCUCCCUCUCCUCCCUCGCUUGUGCUCUCUGUCGCUAUCUCUCACUCUCUCAAAUGAAUAAAUAAAAUCUUUUAAAAAAUAAAAAUAAAAGUAUUGGUCUUUUACAAACUCAGUUCACCAUCCUACUGGUCAUUUUUACAUCCUAUUGUUUUCAUGAGAAGACUAGUUGGAAAACUAGCAUUCCUUAAAUAUAAGUAUUAUUUUUACUCUUACCAGUAUCCUUCUUUGAGGUGCACAAGUUGACAAUAUCAAAUUAUUUGCUAUUUUGCCCCGCUAUCCUAAAGAAACAAGAAUCCAUCACACAAGGUAGCCAGUUGAGAAGGAGGAAAACACAUUAGGCUGUUUUUUUCUUCUUACUGAUUUUGAAUUAAAUCGGGCCAAGAGUCUGGUGGAUUAACAGCUUAGAACGUGUUAACCUUAUGUGGGGAUCUGUAAAUGAUUAUUUGCCCUCAGGUUCAGCUGGCCGGUCAGUCCUCCCCCUGAGACACAUCAGCAAGGUGAGGGGGCCCCACUGAGCCUGCCAAAGCUAUACUUCACAGCGAGGAGGGAAAUCUUGCCAAAAGGUUUAGCUCACAAGCUGGCCGUCAGCCAUUAGCCGUCCAGGUGAAGCUUCACUGUCUUGACAUGACAAGAUGGGCACUUGACCAGCUUUACUGCAGUAAUGAAUUGAGCUAAUACCAGCUGCAUGCAGGCAAAACCUGCCCUGGAGCCCAAGGCUCUGACUUGAAAGAACUUCGAGAAUUCCAUGCAUUCAUUCAAAUAUUGGUUGAACACCUACUAGAUAUGCCUGACACUGUGCUAGAUGCUAGAUCUGUAAUAGUAGACUUUGUAGAUAUGGCCUCUGCUUUCUCAUGGACCAUUCAGGCUAGUGGAGCAAGUCAACAUUAACACACAAAUUGUGGUAAGUACUAGGAAAGAAAACAUAACAUGCUGAUUAGAUUUGAGGCCAGACUUUAUUUAGACUGGGGGCUAGGGAAAGGCCUCCAACUUUCAGCAGGAGAAGUUACUUGGGCAAAGAGGGAGGCAUGGUCAGGUUGAGAAAUAGCUCAUGCUAAGGCCCUGAGUCAGGGGCGAGCUCGGCUUUUCUAGGAAACUGAAAGGCAGCCAGUACGCCCAGAGCGAAGGGAGCAGGAUUGUGAGCGGUGCAAAGGAGGUCUGGAGCGUUGAUCAGGACCUAGGGGAGGAGGGAUAGAGAAUUAGUAUUACAUGCUAAAUAUUUCAUCCUAAUGUGCUGCUGGGAAACCCACUAAGAGUUUUAAACCAAGAUGUGACAUAAUCUGAUUUUUGUUUUUAGAAGUGCUUUUCAAAUUCACAAAAGGUAAGGCUGCAAGCGCUCAAUUUUUAAAUAACAAUUUGGGAACUAAAUUGAAAAGCAUGAAGCUAUCAAAGCUAUCAAACAGGGCAACUGGGUGAGUGAAUGAGGCUUAAUUUCUUUUAAAACGAUGCUUGAUUAAUGUAUGCCAUUUAAAAUUAGGACCAGAGGUCUGAUCACCUUAGUUGUAGUGACAGCUCUGCUAAAGAGAUCACUUCUAAUCCUUUGGAAAAUGGAUUUGAUUUUAAAAACCUCAAAACAAAACACAAGUAGCUUAAACUAUCAGUAUAAGUUUCCUGUGCUGUCUGCAAAGCAGAUGUGUGCCUUUUUUGCUGGCUGCUAUUCCUCAGAGUUACCCUCGAAGUCAGAGGCCGUGAGACAGAGGAAGCGUUGGUGUCUGGUCAUAACGGAUUGUGUUUUAUUUUCCUAAGGUUUUUUUUUUUUUUUUCUCUGCUUGCCUGUUAAGAAUGAAAACAAGCCAAUUCUACUGUCUCAGAUGAAGGGAGAGGAGAGGUAUCAGUGAGGAGAUAGGGAUUCAUUGGACUCAAAAGAACUUUCUAUCUUGACUUUCUCAAUAAAUAAUGAAAACACCAGGGACUUACAAUAAGUGAACAUUUUGUUGGCCUAGCCUUUGUUUCUGAAAGAGGCUCUCUUUGCUAUUUGCAGAGGAAAACUGGCUUAAGUUAGAGAGUUUUAGAAGAGUCGGGAUUAAUGCACACAUUACCUUUCCUGCUUAUGAAUAAUCCAUGAUGGAUUUUCAGCCUCCUCUCCAAGAAUGAGUCCACUCAUUGUCCACUGUCCCGAGGUGCGUAAUUUCCUAACCAGUACCUUUACCCUCGGAAAGAAUUUAUUUCUAAAAGAUGAGAAACUUUCAUAAUUUAAUAGCUUUAAGAUAAAGUAGUAAGUGUAUGAAAUCAUUAUAUGAAGUUCUAGCAUCUUUAUUACACUUCAGAAAAACUUUUUAGACCAAUGUCUGCUUUCCUACCUUUUAGCAAAUAGAAGUCACUCAAACACCUCUUUUAAGAAGUGACUGUUAGAUUGUAAAUUCCAGAUUGUUGCUUAACUGGCUCCAGGAAAGCUGGUUAGAGAAUGUAUACCUAAGGAAGCUCUUAAGCACUAAAUCCCAUUAUAACUAAUAGCAUCUCAAAAUUACUCUUGUAUUGAGGCGGGGUGGGGGGGAACAAGAAGAUUUAAGGACCACUAAAGAAUUUUAAUAGUUCCUUAGAGGUUAUGUUAAUAGAGUUUAAUCAUCAAUUAUGCCUCUUUCCUGUGUUCAGUGACACACUAGGAAAAUAUGUCAGUUGAUGAGCAAUUUCCAGAAGAGAUACAUGAUAUAAAUUAUGUCUCUUUUUUCAUCAGUACUUUGUUUUACUCUUUGAAAUAAAUCUUUUGAAAAUAGUGGCUAAUUUUCAUAAUAAACUAAAAUUUCAUCACAAACUGAUGUCCUAGCUUUUGAAAUAUUUUUUCCACAAUGUAAAAAUGAAAAAAAAAAUCAGUGCCAUUACCCUUAUUACAUUUAUAGAGGGAAGACUUUGAAUUGAAAUCUAGUAGUUUUUUGUUGACUCUUCACCCAAUGCUAAUAUGUACCAUGAUACUAAUUUUGUUGUUAUUGUUCAUUUGGAAACCUCAAGAUACAAAAUAAACUUAAUUUUAAAAGAUAGCUAUUUGAUAGCCUGAAAAUAGUAGUGGGGGUAGUGGAUUCAAGGAGAUGACAGUUUCUGAGUCCAAACAUUUGGCUUCUAUUUUUUUUUAAAGAUUUAGUUAGUAAUUUAUUUGAGAGAGAGAGAGAGCACAUGCAUGCAAGCAGUAGGGUGGGGGGAGGCAGAGGAGAGAGAAAGAGAAUCCUCAAGCAGACUCCCCGCUGAGCACAGAGCUCUACUGGGGGCUCCAUCCCAGGACCCUGAGAUCAUGACCCGAUCCAAAAUAAAGAGUUGGCCACUUAACUAACUGAUCCACCCAGGUGUCCCAGCAAGUAGAGACCCUUAGAUAUGAAGCUGUUGUCCAAGCACAUUUGCCCAGCAAGAAGCACAGUUGAGCCCAGAACCCAGGUCUGUGACUCCUGAUCCAAGGCUCUGUCAAGUCCAGAACCAUCAAAGGCAGCCAAGAUUGUAACUGUGGAUGUAUAAGCAUUAGUGUAACUUUUAACUCUUUGGUUAAUGUCACUGGAGAGUUAUGUAUUUAUGUUUAUAAUUGGUAUUAAAAUUAUCACUGAAUGACCAAUAAAACAAUCAAGCACACUUUUUAACAUUUUUGUUUUCUGAUGCUAUUCACAAUUGGAACUGGUUUAAAAACACAGUUGUCCACUAGAGGUCACCUUUCCUCAAGAUGAGGGUCAGUCGCCUUCCCUAAUACUGGGUUAACCUAGUUUUAAAUCAACCACCAUCACCUUGGAGAAAUGAACAGCCUUUUCUGCCGAUGGGGGAUCCCGAGGAGUGCUGUAGCUGCAUGCACUUGUAUGGGUAGGUGAAGCUGUCUGGGCUACUGAAAAUCCUGGAAGGAUGAAGGGAGAUGGUGCUCCCUGCUUCACCUGUGUGCAUGCGUGCACACACACACACACACACACACUUUGUGCUAGUUAUGGCUUGACUCCUCUUGACAGACCAACUUAUUUUUAUUUGAAAGUCUUGUGUUAGCCCUGGCAGGUUUAUACUACCUUUCACUUUUUUGCCACUGUUUGUUCUCUGGGACUCCAAAUGCUGGGAAAUGGAGACAAAAAGAAAUGGUCCUUAAAAACUGACAUAAAUUUGGGAUGAAACCAUGUAGACUUCACCCAAAUUUAUCUGAGUCAGUUACUAUUUUUCUACAGCGUGCAAAUUUCAGUCAGCAUUGGCCAGAAAAUACUAUGGGGAGAGGACUAGGACUGUGUCCAAUAAACAAGCACUUUGGCAGAUUCUAUUGAAAUAUAAACCAUCGCAUUAUUCUAGAAGGAGAGGGAGGCUGCCUGCUAUAGCACUGCCUGACGCAUCAGGUUUCAAACUGUGUCUGUAGAAACCCAGGGUCGCAGGAGAUAUUUUUAGAGGUUCACUUGCACCUGUUAUUGGAGCUGCUAAAUACCUCAUCCCCAGUACCCCAAAAAUUCUAGUUGGUAAUUAAAAGAGUUCUGAGAUGUGAAAAUAAUUCUGAAUAGAGUACAAAUAAGAUUGUCUAUGAGACUUUAGGCUUUUGGAGAAAAGUGGUCCCAAAAAGCUGUGGUAAGAAGAAUAUAAUAUUUCAGCCCAAAUGUAGUGAUUCAUUCCCUCAUAUCUAUGCAAAGUAUUUUACCCCACCCUCUUUUGACAUCAGCAUAUUAAUUUAUCCCUCCAGGUUAAGUAGUCUUAUACAGUCCUUAAAACUGAACUCGGAAAUGUGUCAUUGACUUAUAGGUGGUAUCUCUGUACUGGUCUUGCUGAAAAGUCAUGCCUGUGCGUGUCCAAGAAGGUCAAAUUAUCUGAGAUGCCCAAGGGGCCCAGCACAGUUCAGUUCCAAGUUGGGGUCAAGCAAAUCCACUGGGCACAUUCCUUCAUCAAGCCUAAUAGGUAGAUAGCACAAUGCCACGUGAAUGCCCCAUACCUCAAAUGAGCAAGUCUGGUUCUAGACACAUGACCUGUUGGACUGCACUGUGUCUUUUAUUACCUGUUCAUUAUGACAAAUGUGAACAGUGGCUAUAUAUUGUUAUUAAGUCAAUCUGGAAAUAAAUUUCUUCUUACUUUACUUUCAAGCUUCUAGAUAUAUUUAAUGAAAAAUAUCAGAGAUUGCAACAUAAGCUGUUAAAAAAAAUGACUGCCACCAUGCUACUUAUCUUUGUGAAACCAGAUUCUCCAGAUGUGGUGCAAUCAAAAUAAAUAAAUAAAUGUAAAAAUACAGUUGGAAUAAAACUUUAACUGACAUCUAUAAAUUCUGUUUUCAAAUACUUAUGUACAACACAACAGCCUCAUGUUCCCAGUAAAGGAUAUAAUGGGUAAAUAUUAAAAAUUUGAGCUAAAAAUUUUGUUGAUUAAAAACACAUCUGUUAUUUUGCCUAUCAAUCUUCAUUUUAAAAACAGAUUCUAAUACUUCAAAAAAAGAAACAAUGAAGUGACAACCAUUGACUCACACUAAUAAUUUGCUCAGGAAACUGUUUUUUAAUACCUGAUAUAAAGGUAACCAGGGUCAGAAUAGUCAAAACUUUUGAGUAAAUUAGUUUAUAAUGUUCUGUAAGACUCCCAGGUAAGUUUCUUAUUUAUAGUUAUAAGGCUAAAAACAUUAUAACCCAUCUCAUUUUUGUCCUUCUCUCACUCCGCAUUUCUGGGCCUCAGAGCAUGUGGGAAUAUCCUGAUACCAAGCAUCCUCUCUGCUGUGUGAGAAAUGACCUUGAUCCAACAGGAGCCUCCAAGCCCAUUACAGGCACUCUAUCCCCGAAGUCACAGACAAAUCAACAUGCUCAAAUCAUAGUUCAGUGAAUCAAUUUAAAAUGCCUCUCCAAAAGCAAGGAAAUGAGGAUGUAUGACAUAUGUUGGACCACACUUCCUGAGUCUUAUUUUAUGUCCAGCCUUUCUGCCACAGCCACCUUCCCUGUCAUUGAUAAGGUUGUGAGCUGAAGUUUGAGAAAGGAGGCCCAAUUAGACAAAGGUGUCUGCCAAUGGACAGGCAACUUGCUUUAUCAGAGACAUGGGGCAAGUUCCUCUGGCUUCCUCUGUAGCUUGCCCCCUCUCCUGAUGAGCAGCUAUGGAUUGUAUUUGCGGUUCUUGGGCAGACGACACAUGGGCCAGAAUGGAUGUCACCAGUGGACAGUGUACAAUCUAACAAAUAUUGAAUGCCUCUGGCUAUUUAGUGUGUUGUGAAUAUUAGGUGCUUCUUUAUUCUUUCCAUGUCUUUCUAUGCCCCCCACACACAUGCUUGAUCCAUGUCUAACACAUCCAGAUUACUUACUUAACACAUACGGUGAAUUCUGCCUCUGUCUACUUGCUUACUCAUUGUCUAAAUCUAAACAUCUUACGCAUUUCACAUAUCUCUGAAAAGCUAUUAUAUAUUCGUCAUCUAUUCUUAACACCUCCUAUAAGUUUCAUCCGUACCAUUUGUUUUCCUUAUUCUUCUACAGUUAACUGAAUCUUCUCAAGUAAUACAGCAAACUACCUACAAAAUCUCUUGGAAAAGCUUUCCACCGUAUUGUAUUGGUCCAGACUCUCUGAUCCCACUCAAGUUCUCUUUGCCUUUCAGGUCUUAACUACCUGCUGCCCUCUUAACGGCCCAAAGAUACUCCCCACCUGUGCUCCUGCAUCUUUCUCCAUCUCCACCAUGACCUCCUCCUUCCACAACACUGUUUCAUAACUUUGCUCAUCAUAUCUUCAGGUCCAUGGCUGAAUGAAGACCCACCAUGUGCUCCUGGUCUAACUCCAGGACCUGGCCCUUUUGAUUAUUUUUCACCCAUUGCCUUCUGUUUCUCCCUUCUCACUAGCUCCUUCCCCGCUGAACACAUAGAUGUUUAGGUCUCCUCUGUCUUAAAAAGCAGCCACAACCAGUCACUCUGAUUCCAUUAUACACUCAAUCUACCACCCUAAUGCUCUAAUUCAUCAACAAACUUCCUUACAAACUGCUUUCUACUCAGUCCUUCGACUUCUUAACCAAUUAUGACCUGGCUUCUACCCUAACACACUACUACUGAGAUUAUUCUCUCAAGAGUAACCGAUGACUUCCUAAUAGAACUAAUGGCUCUUGGUUGUGUUUACCUUCCAACCUACUAGUCUUAUCUGCUUCCCUGCAGAAAAAUAUUUGAAGCAAUCAAGCUCUGCCAGCAACCCCCCCCCCCCCCUUAGCCCCUCACUACACUGGUUUUCAUUUUCAUCUCACCCUGUUAACUAUACUUGUUUUGCUUUCUCUUGUUCUGUAUAUAUGGGCUUUCACCCAAGAUUAGUAUUAAUUUCCUGUUGGUGCUAUAAAAAUUUACCCUGACUUAGUGACUAAAUCAAUACAAAUAAUUAUCUUAUAGUUUUGGAGGUCAGAAGUCCAUAAGGAGUCUUAUGGGACUAAUAUCAACAUGUCAGCAGGGCUGUGUGCCUUUUAGAGGCCUUUCCCUUUCUAGAGGCCUCCCACACUCUGAGUGCUUCCUUUGUCCUCAAAGCCAACAACACUGGGCGGAGCCUUUCUCACACUACCCUCUCUCUAUUUCUUCCUCUUCGGCCUCCUCCUUUUACUUUUAAGGACCCUUGUGAUGACAUUGGACCCAUUUAGAAAACCAGGAUAAUCUCCCAUCUCAAGGUCAGCAGAUUGGCCACCUCAAUUCCCCUUUCCUGGGUGGGGGUCAGGACAUACAUACUUUGGCAAGUCAUUAUCAUGUUUACCGCAGGGAUGUCUUUGUUUCUUACUAGCUCUGUCUCUACAGUCUCUCCCUUCAUCUAAUUUUCUACAGCUCAAUUAUCCUUUCCCUGAAAAAAAAA
rnacentral:lncRNA from 1 species